GUAAUGGUUGCUGAGUAAAGCUUAACAGCGUAAAAAACCAUCGCCGGACACGAUCGAAGAGG
rnacentral:sRNA from 12 species